CCCAUUAGAGUCCUUCAAUGUUCAACCUUGAUUUAUAAGAAAUUAUUCAUCAGUAUUAGAGACCUUGUGUCAAAAUAAAUUUGUUUGGUUCAUACAUGGGACAAGGCCACACUUAACGGUUUGUUCAACUAAGUAGGGUCCAUCAAGAGAUUCCAGUGUAUUGUGUUGUUUUUUACAUCACAUAUACAAGGGAUGAUAACAAAAAGGCAUGUGUUUCAUUGUCAAUGUGUGCUGUCUAUUAAUUUGCCUAUAUUAAUAUAGUAACUAGAUUUAUCAUGUCAAUUGUUUUUGUUCAUUGAAUCUAAAGAGUCAGUUAUGAAUUAUGCUUAAAGAAAAUUGUUAUUACUUUCUCUUGAUUUUAAAAAUUAACGGGUAGUCAAAGGUUUAAUUGUUUGAUAUUUGAUGUAUGCAAAAAUAUGAUAUUUUAAAGCAUUUAGUCGCCAAUUAAUCGGUAUG
rnacentral:lncRNA from 1 species